CUUUGUCAGUAUUUUCUUUGUCUUUACACACUCAAAUGAUCAACUUCCACUUUAUAAUCCAUUAUUACAGGUCAAAAGCUCUAUACAGUGGUGUUUUCUAAUAUCUGUGGCUUCUGAUAGAAGAUAAAAAUGACCUUCUCAGGUGGAUAGACGGUGGUCUGAUUUGUAGUCCUAAUUCUGCUUUAAACUUUUGUUUUCUUGUUUUUUCCUUUUGAUGCUUAACUUAAGGAUCCGACCACCCCUUCCAUCACUGCCUGAGGGUCACUGAGGUCAUGUGUUAGUCAUGUGUUAAUCAUGAGGGGGCAUGGCAGUCAUCAGUGUUCAAGGCCGCAUGAGUUACUGUGUCAAUUGGUAGCAAACUGCCCGAGGAAGGAGAUGUCAGGAUGUCAUUACACUAUCAGUGAUUCAGUGUUUCUUUUCUAGCCCCCUACACAGAGCAGUUCAGGGCCAUCCCCUCGGGGCACCUUGGUGUGUCACUGGCCUGGCAUUUUGUAAUGUAUUUGUUCUGUUUUGCCUGUUAGAUUUUUUUUUUUUUUAAGGUUUGUUCCAAGUUUCUCUUUUCUACUUUGUCCUGCUGUCUCUGUCAUCUUGUUUUGUCUUAGUUUUCCUUCCUCAGUGUUAGUUAUUAGUUUUACUUUGAAGGUUACUUUCUCGUGUGUCUUGCUCGAAGCAGGUUCAGCACCAGGAUACAUUUCAGUUAUCUGACUUCAUUUGCCCUCACAACGGCAGGAUAAGCCGUCACGCAAAGGUUGUUAUCAAGUCAAUAAGUUAACCUGGGGUGCAUCAAUCAAGCUACCGUGCAGCGGUAACGUUAGCGGCCUCUGACCAAUCAAAAACUGGAAGAAGUCUAGUGAAGUUGCCUGUUUUGUAGUGCAGGCCUCUGAUCUUUCCCUUUGUUUGUCUGCCUUGUCCUCAUUAGUUUACCUCUGUUUUCAUUAUUCUCACUAUUCAUUAUUCUUCAUAUAAGAGAAGGAAGGUGCAAUUUCAACAGUACAUCUCAGCUUUUCUACAUAAAGAAAUUAUGCUGUUGCAGAUGGAAGAAAUCUUUCAGCACCACUCUGAAAUUACAGAAACAGUUCUGGCCAGAAUAUUCUGCAAUUAUAAAAUAAGGUUUUCUGUAAUCAAGAAUGAAAAUUGAACUCAGGACCUUCUUGCUGUGCGGCAACAGUGCUAACCACCGUGCUGCUCUGAGAAUUUAUGACCAGCAAUUGUGAGGUCAGACACUGAUUUUGGACGAGAAGGCGUGGCUCACAGAUUGCACUCUAAUUUAUCCCAAAGGUGUUUUGUCAGGUUGAGAUCAGGACUCCAGACCCACUAUGUGCCUCAACAUCCACGACCCUAGCUGUCAUGGCCGUACGGCUCGUUUUGCGACACUAGUCGUGAAGAUACCUUGGCCAUUCCUGACAAGGUUUAUCCACACUAUCUGCAUUUG
ensembl:lncRNA